rnacentral:rRNA from 1 species
GACGAACGCUGGCGGCGUGCCUAAUACAUGCAAGUCGAACGCAGUGGGGACGGGUGAGUAACCCGUGGGUAACCUCCCAUCAGAGGGGAUAACACUUGGAAACAGGUGCUAAACCGAUACUGAUGGAUGGACCCGCGGUGCAUUAGCCAGUUGGUGAGGUAACGGCUCACCAAGGCCACGAUGCAUAGCCGGCCUGAGAGGAUGAUCAGCCACACUGGAACUGAGACACGGCCCAGACUCCUACGGGAGGCAGCAGGAGGGAAUAUUGGACAAUGGACGAAAGUCUGACCGAGCAACGCCGCGUGAGUGAAGAAGGUUUUCGGGUCGUAAAGCUCUGUUGGUAGAGAGGCGGUAUCUAACCAGAAAGCAACGGCUAACUACGUGCCAGCCGCCGCGGUAAUAC